rnacentral:rRNA from 1 species
GACGAACGCUGGCGGCGUGCCUAACACAUGCAAGUCGAGCGGGGAUGUGAGGAACUUUCGGAUGGAAUUUUACUGUUUCGAGCGGCGGACGGGUGAGUAACGCGUGAGCAACCUGUCUCUUACAGGGGGAUAACGCAGCGAAAGUUGUGCUAAUACCGCAUGAGACCACGAUGGGGACAUCCCGAUGGGGUCAAAGGAGGAAUCCGGUAAGAGGUGGGCUCGCGUCUGAUUAGCUGGUUGGUGAGGUAACGGCUCACCAAGGCGACGAUCAGUAGCCGACCUGAGAGGGUGAUCGGCCACAUUGGAACUGAGAAACGGUCCAAACUCCUACGGGAGGCAGCAGUGGGGAAUAUUGGGCAAUGGGCGGAAGCCUGACCCAGCAACGCCGCGUGAAGGAAGAAGGUUUUCGGAUCGUAAACUUCUAUCCUUGGUGAAGAUAAUGACGGUAGCCGAGAAGGAAGCCCCGGCUAACUACGUGCCAGCAGCCGCGGUAAUACGUAGGGGGCAAGCGUUGUCCGGAAUGAUUGGGCGUAAAGGGCGCGUAGCGGCCUGUUAAGUCCGGAGUGAAAGCCCUGCUUUUAAGGUGGGAAUUGCUUUGGAAACUGAUGGGCUUGAGUGCAGGAGAGGUAAGUGGAAUUCCCGGUGUAGCGGUGAAAUGCGUAGAGAUCGGGAGGAACACCAGUGGCGAAGGCGACUUACUGGACUGUAACUGACGCUGAGGCGCGAAAAGUGUGGGGGAGCAAACAGGAUUAGAUACCCUGGUAGUCCACACUGUAAACGAUGAAUGCUAGGUGUAGGGGGUAUCGACCCCUUCUGUGCCGGAGUAAACACAAUAAGCAUUCCGCCUGGGGAGUACGGCCGCAAGGUUGAAACUCAAAGGAAUUGACGGGGGCCCGCACAAGCGGAGGAACAUGUGGUUUAAUUCGAUGAUACGCGAGGAACCUUACCCAGGCUUGAAAGUUAGUGACCGUCCCUGAAAGGGGAUUUCUCUUCGGAGCACGAAACUAGGUGCUGCAUGGUUGUCGUCAGCUCGUGCCGUGAGGUGUCGGGUUAAGUCCCAUAACGAGCGCAACCCUUGUCGUUAGUUGCAAACAGGUAAUGCUGUGGACUCUAGCGAGACUGCCGGUGUAAACCGUGAGAAAGGUGGGGACGACGUCAAAUCAUCAUGGCCCUUACGCUGUGGGGUGCACACGUGUUACAAUGGUCGGUACAGAGAGUUGCGACGCAGCGAUGCGAAGCUAAUCUCAAAAAGCCGAUCUCAGUUCGGAUCGCAGGCUGAAACUCGCCUGCGUGAAGUUGGAUUCGCUAGUAGUCGCACAUCAGCCAUGGUGCGGUGAAUACGUUCCCGGGCCUUGUACACACCGCCCGUCAAGCCAUGGAAGUUUGGGGUGCCCGAAGUACGUGACCGUAGAAGGAGCGUCCUAGGGCAAAACAGAUAACUAGGGCU